rnacentral:tRNA from 1 species
AAACUUAGGAUAUUUUUAAACCGAGGGCCUUCAAAGCCCUAAAAAAGAGCCCCCCCCCUCUUAGUUUCU